AUUGAACGCUGGCGGCAUGCCUUACACAUGCAAGUCGAACGGUAACAGGGAGCUUGCUCCGCUGACGAGUGGCGAACGGGUGAGUAAUGUAUCGGAACGUACCUUUCAGUGGGGGAUAACGUAGCGAAAGUUACGCUAAUACCGCAUAUUCUGUGAGCAGGAAAGCAGGGGAUCGCAAGACCUUGCGCUGAUUGAGCGGCCGAUAUCAGAUUAGCUAGUUGGUGAGGUAAAGGCUCACCAAGGCGACGAUCUGUAGCGGGUCUGAGAGGAUGAUCCGCCACACUGGAACUGAGACACGGUCCAGACUCCUACGGGAGGCAGUAGUGGGGAAUUUUGGACAAUGGGGGCAACCCUGAUCCAGCCAUGCCGCGUGAGUGAAGAAGGCCUUCGGGUUGUAAAGCUCUUUCGGCCGGGAAGAAAUCGCAUGGGUUAAUACCCUGUGCGGAUGACGGUACCGGCAUAAGAAGCACCGGCUAACUACGUGCCAGCCGCCGCCGUAACAC
rnacentral:rRNA from 1 species